GAUGAAGAACGCAGUGAAAUGCGAUAAUUAAUGUGAAUUGCAGAAUUCAGUGAAUCAUCGAGUCUUUGAACGCACAUUGCGCCCCCUGGUAUUCCGGGGGGCAUGCCUGUCCGAGCGUCAUUGCUGCCCUCAAGCACGGCUUGUGUGUUGGGCUUCCGUCCCUGGCAACGGGGACGGGCCCAAAAGGCAGUGGCGGCACCAUGUCUGGUCCUCGAGCGUAUGGGGCUUUGUCACCCGCUCCCGUAGGUCCAGCUGGCAGCUAGCCUCGCAACCAAUCUUUUUAACCAGGUUGACCUCGGAUCAGGUAGGGAUACCCGCUGAACUUAAGCAUAUCAAUAAGCGAAGGA
rnacentral:misc_RNA from 1 species